CACUACUUUAGAACAGGGCCCAUAGGGAAUAGGGUGCACUACUUUAGAACAGGGCCCAUAGGGAAUAGGGUGCACUACUUUAGAACAGGGCCCAUAGGGAAUAGGGUGCACUACUUUAGAACAGGGCCCAUAGGGAAUAGGGUGCACUACUUUAGAACAGGGCCCAUAGGGAAUAGGGAAACUGGGUCAGAUUAGACAUACCAGUGGCUUGGAUGUUGUGGGUAUCAGAGAGGAACAUCCAGGCACUAUAGUUCAUAUUUCAUACUUUCAUGGCAAAAUACAUUAACAGCUCUCCAAAUAUCAUUUGGUUUUCAUUCUUAAAUUGAGCUCAAAUAUUAAAUACAGUCAGAUUAUUACAUUCUGUCUUGAUUGAAAAACAACAACAUAAAUUAGAGGAAUUAGUUUAGUUGUACCCGAGCAAACAAUAUGAAGUUCUGGGAACGUUCCGCUGAAAGUUAGCGAAAAUCAUGAGGACGUCACAAUGUAACGUGUCCUAGACUGACUUUUGUGAUGCCACCAUUCUUGGUGGUCGAUUCUGAUAUUCUGAAAUGUUCUGAAAGAUCUGGACUAUAAGCAGCACGGUUUUGACCCUGAGGAUUUCCAGGACAAGCAUUUCAGGAGCAUGACAGACACAUACCAUCUGUGAAAGUGCCAGUAGGCUAAGAAAAUAUAAUAAUAUUUAGCAGGGAAACGAACCCACAAUCCUGACAUUAAAAGAACCGUGCUCUACCAACUGAGUCAUACAGGACCACAAGAUCACAUUCCCUUGUCCAACUAGUUUAAAUAUUCAAUCACACCUUCUCUUUCCUUUUGGAUUCGGCACUUUGGAGAUAUAGAAAAUAUGAUAGAUUUAGGAAAUGGGAUUUGACCUAGCCCUGUUUCAUUAUAAACAACAAUAUAACUCUGUUUAGAGGUGACCUAUCCCUAUUUAAUUAUGAACAACCUCUGUUUAGAGGUGACCUAUCCCUAUUUCAUUAUAAACAACCUCUGUCUAGAGGUGACCUAUCCCUAUUUCAUUAUAAACAACAAUAUAACUCUGUUUAGAGGUGACCUAGCCCUAUUCCAUUAUAAACAACCUCUGUCUAGAGGUGACCUAGCCCUAUUUCAAUAUAAACAACCUCUGUUUAGAGUUGACCUAGCCCUAUUUCAUUAUAAACAAAAGUUGAACUUAGAGAACUUAGAGUCACUGUUACUAUUAUUGUAAAUUAUUUAACUUUACAUUUUUAUUGUAAAUUAUUAAAAUCUUACUUUUAUUAAUUAAAUUGUACUUUAUCGUAAAUGAUUUAACUAACUUUUAUUGUAAAUUAUUUAACUUUUAAUUUUUAUUGUAAAUGAUUAAAAUCUUACUUUUAUUAAUUAAAUUGUACUUUAUCGUAAAUGAUUUAACUAACUUUUAUUGUUAAUUAUUUAAAUUAGAAUUUAUUGUAAAUUACUUUAAUGUUAAACCGUUAUCAUUUUCCAACGUACUUUUCUAUGUAUUGUAUAUACUGUUUACUUUCUAUAAAUGUCUUAUUUUUUCCCAGUUUACUUUGCAACGUAUGUUCUUUUCAGAUGUAUUAUUAUUAUUAUUAUCUAUGAUUGUGUAUAAUAUUUUUUUUUAGCAAUUCUGAAUGCAAUCGACCAGCAUGACGUUCACCUCUCUGUACCCUGCAAUCGAGGCAAUGUAACCAUAGAAAUAUAAUUACAAGAACAGUAUUCCUGUUCAUUCUCCCUUGUUCUAAUGGGCUUUUGUCCCCGAAUUCUAGAAAUCAUAUAUCUAUGAAUGUUAAAGAGAAGAAAAAAAAUCCACUUUUUCCUCAGCUGUCCUCUGAAUGUUUGGCAGGUGAUUUAACUAAGUAUCAUAUUUUCUUAGCUGCUAUCAAAUAAGACAUUCAUCUGCUAUUUAAAAAAAUAUAUAUUUUUGCACUCCUGCAUUUGCAUGACUAUGAUGCAUCAACAUUUAUAAGUCAGUUGCUUUAUAAAUUAAAGUAAAGAAGCUGUUAAUUUAUUGUAUCAAAUGAACAGAGUUGAUAUUAUUAUAAUCAUCCGAAAAUAACCCCAAUCAGUCACUACAUACAUCUUUUAUUUUGUAUUUUUUUAUACAUAUCACUGUUGCUAUUGUCAGAAUAAACUGUCCAACAUGUCAGUUAAAAACAUUAUUUGCUCAAUAUUAAUUAAUACAGUGCCUUCUGAAAGCAUUCUGAAAGCAAUGGACUUUUUCCCACAUUCUGUUGUGUUACAGCAUGAAUUAAACAUGGAUCAAAUUUAGAUGUUGUGUUACUGAUCUACACUCAAUACCCCAUAAUAUUCAAAGUGGAAUUAUGUUUUUAGAUUAUUCUUUUUUUACAAAUUAAUUAAAAAUGAAAAGCUGAAAUGUCUUGAGUCAAUAAGUAUUCAACCCCUUUGUUAUGAUAAACCUAAAUAAGUUCAGGAGUAAACAUUUGCUUAACAAGUAACAUGAGUUGCAUGGACUCACCCUGUGUGCAAUAAUAGUGUUUAACAUGAUUUAUGAAAGACUACCUCAUCUCUGUACCCCACACAUAUAAUUAUCUCUAAUUUCCCUCAGUCCAGCAAAGAAUUUCAAACAUAGAUUCAACCACAAAGACCAGGGAGGUUUUCCAAUUCCUCGCAAAGAAGGGCUCCUAUUGGUCGAUGGGUCAAACUAUAAAAGCAGGCAUUGAACAUCCCUUUGAGCACGGUGAACUUAUUAAUUACACUUUGGAUGGUGUAUCAAUACACCCCAGUCUCUACAAAUAUCCACACUUCCUUCAGUUACCUGGAGAGGAAGGAAAACUGCUCAGCGAUUUCACCAUGAGGCCAAUGGUGAUUUUAAAACAGUUACAGAGUUUAAAGGAUGUGGAUAAGAGAAAACUGAAGAUGGAUCAACAACAUUGUAGUUAACUCCACAAUACUGACCUAAAGGACUGAGUGAAAAGAAGGAGGCCUGUACAGAAUCAAAAAUAUGACAAAACAUCCUGUUUUCUGGAGGUUGGUGGCACCUUAAUUGAGGAGGACAGUCUCGUGGUAAUGGCUGGAGCGGAAUUGGUGGCACCUUAAUUGAGGAGGACAGUCUCGUGGUAAUGGCUGGAGCGGAAUUGGUGGCACCUUAAUUGAGGAGGACAGUCUCGUGGUAAUGGCUGGAGCGGAAUUGGUGGCACCUUAAUUGAGGAGGACAGUCUCGUGGUAAUGGCUGGAGCGGAAUUGGUGGAAUGGCAUCGAAUACAUCAUGUUUCGUUCCAGCCAUUAUAAUGAGCCGUCCUCCUCUCAGCAACCUCCACUGAUCAUUGUUUGCAAUAAGGAAACCGCUCAGAGAUUUCACCAUGAGGCCAAUGGUGAUUUUAAAACAGUUACAGAGAUUAAUGGCUGUGAUAGGAGAAAACUGAGGACUGAUCAACAACAUUGUAGUUACUCCACACUACGAACCUAAAUGACAGAGUGAAAAUAAGGAAGCCUGUACAGAAUCAAAAUAUUCCAAAACAUUUGCAAUAAGGCACUAAAUUAAAACUGCAAAAUAUGUGGCAAAUAAAUUAACUUUAUGUCCUGAAUACAAAGUGUUAUGUUUGAGGCAAAUCCAACACAACACAUCACUGAGUAUCACUCUUCAUAUUUUCAAGCAGGGUGAUGGCUGCAUCAUGUUAUGGGUAUGCUUGUGAUCGUUAAGGUCUAGAGAGUGUUUUAGGAUAAAAAGAGGCAGAAUAGAGCUAAGCAGAGGCAAAAUCCUAGAGGAAAACCUGGUUCAGUCUGCUUUCCAACAGACAGUGGAGACAAAUGCCCUUUUCAGCAGGACAAUAACCUAAAACACAAAGCCAAAUAUACACUGAAGUUGCUUACCAAGACAACGUUGAAUGUUCCUGAGUGGCCCAGUUAUAAUUUUGACUUAAAUCUGCCUUAAUAUCAAUGGCAACACUUGAAAAUGGCUGCAUAGCAAUGAUUAACAACCAACUUGAAAGAGCUCGAAUAAUUUAAGCAUUUAAAAAAAAGAAUAAUGUGCAAAAUUGUACUAUCCAGCUGUGCAAAUCUCUUAGAGACUUACCCAGAAAGACUCACAGCUGUAAUCUCUGCCAAAGGUGGUUCUAACAUGUAUUGACUCGGGGGGUGUGAAUACAUAUGUAAAUGAGAUAUUUCUGUAUUUCAUUUUCAAUACAUUUGUGAAAAGUGUCUAGAAAACAUGUUUUCACGUUGUCAUUACUUGCUGAAGACUCUGUAAGUACAAGACACAGUCUCAUCAUACAUUUACAUAUUUUGAGGAUUGUUUUGUUUUGGCACUGAUUGGCUGAGGAAUGGUCAAACAUUUUCUCUUUGAUGUGAUUGGACUGAAAAACACCUACCCUUCGAUGUGGUUGGUCAUUUGAAAUCUAUGCAUGUCGUAAUCAUGACUACAGCAUCCAUCUUGAACAGUGUCCAAAGGAGAUAUUAAUUAUUCGUGUGUUUUUUUGUGCCGAGUCUGCAUUAAAUAGAGCUUACUUGUGUUAAGUCUAUAAAUCACUGAUUAGUGUCUUGGAAAAACAUGUCACUAUUCUGUCCUACAAAAAAAAGAGUUUCUUAUUUCAUCAGGAUUGAUCGUACAUGAUGUUUGUCAGUCAAGAUAAUGGAUUGUUGAUUGAUUGUAUAAUACCCUGAUUGAUGUACGAGGCUGAUAUUUCUUCCCGAGACAUUUUGUGAAGAAGAGCAUUUUGUGUUUUCAUAAUGCUUAUUAGUGUUUCUGGGACGGACGCAACGAAACCUUCCUUGGUUGAAGCUUCAGGCCUAGAUCCAAUCAGACCAAGAGUUAACGGCCGAUAGCCAACACCCGCAUAGCCGAUGUUUCGGAGGUGCCGCUGUAAAGCUGAAUUUGAGAUGAAUUUCCACGAUGCGGAUUAAAUAACGCCCUAAAACUGUCAAUUGGAAUCUGGGUGGAAGUAUUGUUUUUGUUGAUAUUAUUUGAGAAAUCACCUGGUUAAAAAAAUAUAUUAAUAAAAAUAUAUAAAUACAAAGAUCAAAUAAUCUGGUGGGUCACAUGGAAAGCACAUAAAAAAAAAAUUUUUUGCACCUUCAGGGGGACGGUUUCCAGGACACAGAUUAUUAAGACUAGUCCUGGACUAAAUACCAAGAUCAAUGGAGAAUCUCCAUAAAACUAUGGAUUAGGAUUAGUCUUAAUCUGUUUUAGUCUUAAACCCUGAAAGGGCCCCUAAAGGUGUUUGAUGAGGAAGCACAGUAGACCAUAGAUUUACCAUCUACACGAUGUCAUCCGUUUUUCUAACAUGAGGUAUGUCAAUACUGCACACUGUUAUCACCUCGCCCCUAUGCAAAAGCAUACCAGAAGAUGUACAAAGAAAAUGAUCGUGUGAUGUAACAUAACCAGAUGUGGAUAUCACCCUUUUCCUGUAAUAAAUCAUGGCUCUUUUAAAUCAACUGCUUCUCGGGAUGUUACUA
rnacentral:lncRNA from 13 species